rnacentral:rRNA from 1 species
GACGAACGCUGGCGGCGUGCCUAAUACAUGCAAGUAGGACGCUGAAGAGAGGAGCUUGCUCUUCUUGGAUGAGUUGCGAACGGGUGAGUAACGCGUAGGUAACCUGCCUUGUAGCGGGGGAUAACUAUUGGAAACGAUAGCUAAUACCGCAUAACAAUGGCUGACACAUGUCAUUUAUUUGAAAGGGGCAAUUGCUCCACUACAAGAUGGACCUGCGUUGUAUUAGCUAGUAGGUGAGGUAAUGGCUCACCUAGGCGACGAUACAUAGCCGACCUGAGAGGGUGAUCGGCCACACUGGGACUGAGACACGGCCCAGACUCCUACGGGAGGCAGCAGUAGGGAAUCUUCGGCAAUGGGGGCAACCCUGACCGAGCAACGCCGCGUGAGUGAAGAAGGUUUUCGGAUCGUAAAGCUCUGUUGUAAGUCAAGAACGGGUGUGAGAGUGGAAAGUUCACACUGUGACGGUAGCCUACCAGAAAGGGACGGCUAACUACGUG